rnacentral:lncRNA from 10 species
UUGGGAUUACAGGAGCCUGCCACCAUGCCCAGCUAAUUUUUGUAGUUUUUAGUAGAGAUGGGGUUUCACCAUCUUGGCCAGGCUGGUCUUGAACUCCUGACCUCGUGAUCCACCCCUCGGCCUCCCAAAGUGCUGGGAUUACAGGCAUGAGCCACCACACCCAGCCAACUUUUCCCUCUUUACUUCUCCUCCCCCCACCCCAUAGCCAUCUUCCUGGCACCCCUGGUUUCCUGUGGGCACAUCUCUGGACUCCCUUCCCCUGCUGACCCCUGCCUCUGUGUUGCCCAUGCCCCCAGACUUUUAUCAAGAGAUCUCUCUGGAUGAACUCAGUGCUGUAGAGCUGAUGGGGAAACUGGCUGAGCUCUGGCCAUCCCAGCCAAUCAGAUCCAUCACCUUUUCCACCAGGGCACCGGGGGCAUCUUCAUUCUCCUCAGUGACCAGAUAAAGGGCAGCCAUUUCCUGUCGCAAAUCCCCACGGAGGCCUCGCUAACACUUCUGCCUCAGAUUAAGCUUUCUUUUCCAUGGCAUGGCUUGUUCUCUUUGGCUCCAAUAACAAAAUUGCCUUUGUGCCCGCUUCACUCUUACAGGUGGUCCAGAAUUUUAAGGACGAAUCAUACUUUGUGGCUGUGGUGAAAAAAGGGAUUUUAGAGGCAGAGGAGUGUGCCUGGCUGGCCCUAUAAAGGGGGAUAAGAGUGUGCUGAGCAUAUAUUCCGUCUCCUAAAUGAGACUAAAAGGCUCUUUGGGGGCCAGGCGCAGUGGCUCAUGCCUGUAAUCCCAGCACUUUGGGAGGCUGAGGCAGGUGGAUCACUUGAGGACAGGAAUUCAAAACCAGCCUGGCCAACAUGGCAAAACCCCAUCUCUAUAAAAAAUACAAAAAACUACCCGGGCGUGCUGGCACGUGCCCGUGGUCCCAGCUACUUGGGAGGCUGAGGCAGGAGAAUCCCUUGAACCCAGGAGGCAGAGGUUGCAGUGAACCGAGAUUGCCCCACUGCACUCCAGCCUGGGUGACAGAGCGAGUCUGUCUCAAACGUCUCAAAAACAAACAAACAAACAAAAAACCUCUUUGAAGGGGAUUAAGGGGAUGUGUCCCAAUUAACUAGCAAACACCUGUGAAUGCCAGCUUUGUGUCAAGGGGAGAGGGAUUUGUAUAGCUAAAAGAUAUUUAUUGCUUAGGAAAAACAUGACUGAAUAAAUGCAUCCUCAUUAAAUAAAAAAUGCUCCAGUUUCUGUUGUCAGGGAGUUUAUUAGAGGGAAAGGUAAGGCCCCCACUUUUCUCCACCUGCCCCUGGCAUGAUACAAGGCAGAAGGGCAGGUGCUUCCUGGACAUCAUCUGGCAUAGGGCACCUCUGACUAGUCUGCUUGGCAUCUGGUUAUUCAGAUGUUUGCCUUCCACCCCUCCACAUGCCAGAGCUGGUCAGCUUGGCUUAUGUACACAAGGGGGUAGGAAGAGGUAGAUGUGAAGUCGGGUUUUAAGACACGUGUGGCCGGGCGUGGUGGCUCACACCUGUAACCCCAGCACUUUGG